rnacentral:rRNA from 1 species
GACGAACGCUGGCGGCGUGCUUAACACAUGCAAGUCGAACGGAAAGGCCCUGCUUGCAGGGUACUCGAGUGGCGAACGGGUGAGUAACACGUGGGUGAUCUGCCCUGCACUUCGGGAUAAGCCUGGGAAACUGGGUCUAAUACCGGAUAGGAGCCCUCUUUAGUGUGGUGGUUGGAAAGUUUUUUUGGUGUAGGAUGAGGUCGCGGCCUAUCAGCGUGUUGGUGGGGUAAUGGCCUACCAAGGCGGCGACGGGUAGCCGGCCUGAGAGGGUGUACGGCCACAUGGGGACUGAGAUACGGCCCAGACUCCUACGGGAGGCAGCAGUGGGGAAUAUUGCACAAUGGGGGCAAGCCUGAUGCAGCGACGCCGCGUGGGGGAUGAAGGCCUUCGGGUUGUAAACUCCUUUCGCUAGGGACGAAGCUUUGUUGUGACGGUACCUAGAUAAGAAGCACCGGCUAACUACGUG